AGACUAGUGGCACAAACCAGAGACCCUCCCCCCUCCAGUCUAUUCAGCUCAAUGUAUUUUUGUCUGAGAGUGUAAUCGUUGUAUGGACUAACACUGAUGUGUAGUGAUAAUAAUAACUCACGGAGUCGGAGACACUAGGUUAACGUGACCAUUACGGUUAUUGAACUCUGUUGUUUUUCGUAUCUUACAGGUUAUAUCCCCGGACCCAUCUCAAGGUGAAGAGCGCGAACUACAGGGGGUACCAUCUACAAAUGAGAAGGUGGCAAUGGCUGCUGAGUCACAUCCAGCUGUGGUUCAUCAACGGCCACAAUAUGAACUCAAUAGAGCCCUGAUGAACACCUUCACCUGCGGUGUUUGCAAAAACAUCAUGGAUCAGCCUGUCAUCGCUACCUGCUGCUCAGAAAUUGUUGGCUGUAAAGGUUGCAUGCAAAAGCAGCUGCAAAGCUCCAAUGAAUGUAUUAAGUGUCAGAGAACAUGCCCAUCAUGGCCAAUUAUUGAGGUGUUUGGUCUGGAGGACCUACUGGGGCUCAUCAGACAAGAAAAAAAUCAAAUUUAGCGUAAUGCCUUCUAAAGGACAGCAAUAGUUGUCAAAUGUUUUGUUUUGAUGUUUCAGUUUUGUUGUUUUAUUUAAUUUUUUCAUUAGAUUGCUGGUAUUACCUCCCUUACACGCAACAGCUUUUUGGCAUAAAUUGCAUUUACCUUUAUUUUAGUCCACAUUAUUAAAGAGAGCCCACUCUUUAGAGUGUUCUAACCUGUCUGCAAUGACUGGAUCGCAUAGAACAUAAACAGAUAAUGAACUAAAAAUGUAUUAUAGGCUACUAGCCAUAUUUUUAAACAGUAAUCAUUUUAUGGAAAGGGGAAAAGGAAAAUUGUUUUAUUUUUUACAUUUUUUCACAUUUUUCAGCUAUGUCACAAUUAAUUGAAGUUAAUGUAAUGAAUGAAUUAUGUGGGGUUAUUACCGAUAGUAGCAUUGUUUGUCCAGGACCUUAUUGGUAUUUUGAUUCUGACCUUCAGGAACCUGUAUUAAUUAAAUACAGACUCUCCAUAUCGGUUACAAGUAAGUCCUUUUUCUGCUUUUUUUUUCAAAGACAGAUUGUGCAUUAAUAAAGAUAGUAGCAGUGAAGUGAUGAAACCUUCCCACCAAUACCAUAUCAUUGAUUGUUUAGUCUUCUAAACGAGGUAUGAUAAAUGCAGACGGUGAUCUCAAAUUGUAAAUCAACUAUUUAAUGGAAAUUGAUGAUAGCAACACUCAUAAUAUAGUGUAUGCCCAUUAAAACCUAGUUAUAAAGGAGUUCCUCUUGGUCUAACUAAAGACAAGUGUAGGGGAUUGUCCAUCAUGUCAUGACCAUUGUCCAAAGUACUGUUUCUGCCAUUGUCAAAGGUGCUGAGCCAGCAUGCCUGGUUCCUCAUUGCCUGCCACCUAUUAUGUCCAACUAUGUUUGCCUAUAGCCUAAAUGUCAACAAAGUGCAGCACUGAAGACAAUGCAGCACAACAAGCAUCAUUUAUUCAUUAAUUCUGUGUAAGCAAAAGAGGGGUUCAUUGUGACACAUUUUGUCUUUUACUUGAUUACUAAGAGCCUGCUUGAAUAACAAUAAUAAUAUUUUGUACUGAAUGGCUUCUAUCUCUCGAUCAACUAUUGAUGAUGUUUGUUAAAAGCGCUAUACAAAUAAAAUUGAUUGAUUGAUUGAUGUUUACUAAACUUGAUUGUAAAUAUGAAUGGUACAGUUUGACUUCAAACUAAAUACUUUUGUCAUUGAUGUUAAGGUGGGUGAGGUCAAUUGUUACAAUUUUUUUUAAAUGAAGGGGAAACUAAUGAUUACAUUUUAAAACAAAUUGUGUGUAUUCAGGUUCAUCUUGCCUCACUGCACUGAUAAAGAUGGGGUUAAUAUGA